GAGCCGAAGAAGAAGACCUACCGGAGCAGCCAGUCUAUCGGAGCAGCCGUUAGCUGUUUGCCGUUAGCCGCUAACUGUCGGUGUUUCCAGCCGGUAACCGGGACCAUGGAGCCGCUCAGCCGACGGGACCGGAUCUACUCUGCGGUGCUGCUGGUUCUCGUCCUGCUUGCCUGGUCUUAUGUCAUCUACGCCAGCAGGGUCGCAGCUCAUUGGCUGCUGGAGGAAAGGACCGCCCUCCUGCAGCAACACUGACAGCUGAUUGGCUGCUGGAGGAAAGGACCUGUAGCAGCACUGACAGCUGAUUAGCUGCUGAAGGAAAGGCCCGCCCUCCUGUAGCAGCACUGACAGCUGAUUGGCUGUUGGAGGAAAGGGCCGCCCUCCUGUAGCAGCACUGACAGCCGAUUGGACGACAGACACACAUUGUGUUUUUAUAAUCUCUCUGUUUGUCUCUGUCCGUCCCGCUCUGGACGUUGGGAUCCUGCUGGUUCAGACCUGUGGGACCUGUUGGACCGUAGAGACUUGUGGUACCUGUGGGACCUGAGGCACCCGUAGAGACCUGUAGAGACCGGACCGACUGGUCAAGAGGACUGAACCUGCAGGACGUGUGAAGGGACUCUACCGAGGGACAAAGGGUCCUGAGACAGUGAGACAGGAGGACAAACAGAAUGAAGAAGUGAAACCGAGUUUAGUUUCCUGCUGCUGUUCAUAAAGUAACAGAUUAAUCUAGAGGACAGAAGCUGCUACAACAAAUAUAUUAAUAUGCCAUCAAAUCUACCAACUCAUGUAUUUAUUUACCUUUGCAUGAAUUAUUAUUGACCUUAAUAAUUUAAUGUAUUUGCUAAAUUUUAUUUUGAAUUCAUUUUAUAAAUGUAUUCAUCCUUUUUUGCAAAAACGAAUGUAGGUAUGUUAAAAUAAUUCAUUUUUAAUAAAUGCAAAAAUAAAUAUGAAUG